GCUUCUUACUUGAUGGUAAGAGA
rnacentral:miRNA from 1 species